UUUGGAGUACGCCAAAAAAUCACAAAUUUGGCGAAAAUCACAAACCCAGUGACCGUUAACAGGAAGUUACAUAUAACAAAGAUUAAAUUACAAGUACGUAAAAGGAUUGUUAUUGGUGCAGCCAAGGACGCGUACUGCGAAAUAUAUCGGCAGUACUUACAUGGAAGAACCAUUACUUAAAAGACGUUAUCGACCGUUAGGAAAACCAGGAUUAGGAAGCGCUAUUGCACAUGCAGUUCCAGUGGUUGUAGGGGCAGCAGUUAAAAACCCUGGAUUCUUUCGAAAUUUUAUCUACGCGAAUCCGCCGUUUGCGGGUCCAGCUAUUCGUGACGCUGUUAAUAUGGCAUUUAGGAGGCGUGUUCUUACAAGAACUAGGACUAAGCAGCGUAAACGUAGACAGGGUCGCCGUUAUGCUCGUAAGAGGUGUUAUGCGCUUAGGAGGCGUUAUAGGCGUGUUCGGGCAGAAAUAUUUACGAGAGUUAUUAAGGACUAUGAUGGAUCAGUUGGAGGAACACCAGCUAGUGGCCUAAUUAACACGCUUAGUCCUCUAGGAGGAGUAAUGAAGAUUCUACCCAGUAGUAAACUUUUUAAUCUCCCCGAAAACUUUAGGAAUUUUACACAUUAUAAAAUAUUAAAAUAUAUUGUAAAAUUAAUUCCCGAAGAACACGCCCCAUUCACUGCGUCAGAGGUAGCUCCAGAAUACCGGUAUUUCCACUAACAUACACUAACACAGACCCAUACGUAAGAUUAACGUUUCCUUCAACUAUGACUAACGAGGAUUAACGAUUCAGUUAUAUACGGGACCAGUUUCAUCUCUCUGCAACAGGCCUUAGCCAGAUUGGGGUCCACCGUUUAUGAAUUGAGUCUGACCGUGUGGUUUAUCAAGACGGUGGGAACGGAAUUCCUGCGCAAAUGGGAGCGCCGGGCGAUAAAGGCGAAGGAGGACUUGCGGUAAGUAUAUUUAUUCUAAGUCUGUGAAAUAUGAUGCGAGUUACAAAUGCCCUAAUGAAGGUGACUGUUUUCCGAGAACAACGUGUUUACUAGGUUUAAGUUGGUCUUACUUUGAUACUUAUUAACCUGAGAUGAGCACAGUGACGAGCCUAGACUGUCAAUCAAGGUAAUGUUGCGCUUUGGAUGUUUCUCUUGGUAAAAAAUAGAGGAGUCAAUCCGUUCGGGCGCGAAGUAUCGUCCUUGUGGAGAUCUUGUAAUUUUUUUUAAGUAAGGUGUGAUAGCCGAACGCAAAGCCCGGGCAGAAAAAUCAUUGAGAGUCGAUUUAAACACCGCGCACACAUAGCAUAUUAUUUGCUUGUUGCUUUUUAGUUUUUAUCAUCUACACAUCCAUCCGUUUUAUUUAACAAGUCUGGUAAAUGCACUGUUACUAAGCGUGAGUUCAUCUGUAUAAUUGUCCGCUUGUAUGUGACUGUAGAACUCAAACUGAUUUUGUGAGGUGGUCACAUUGAACUAAUUUUUCUUAAGGAUGCUAGAGUUUCAUCUUAAGAAGAACUGCGCUUAGGAAGGAGCCGAUUGAAUGAACACUUUUUUCCCGCACGUUUGUUUUUCUUAUGAAGCGAAAUGUCAACUUCUUUAAGUUAGUCGUUUUUCGCGAUUUGCAUGAGAACCCUUGAAAAAUUCUAAAAUAUUUAUAAUAUAAAGCUCUUUGUUUUUCAAUCUUGACAGAACAGACACAACAUUGAAUUUGCAGAACAUUUUCGAUAUUCUGUUUUUUUUUUUAAUGAUUUAGGUAUGAGCAAGCUUUGUCCAAACAGUUCAUAAUAUGUGAAAUAUUAAACAUCAUGGUUUAUAUUCUUUGACUACGUGAAUACUUUAACCCGAAGAGGUACUUUGUUUCUUGUAGGAGGGUAUAAUGCUGAUUUGGUAAAUUUGCAAAACCGCUGAAAUAUGGGCUAUCUUGGCAUAUGGUUCAUAUUCCUGGAUCAGAUCAAUACUUUUCUGGAUUGUAGAAUUAUCUAAAAUAGGGAAACGAAAUAUAUGCAACAGGAUAUCGACGUACAACAAAGUUCCAAUACUCGCAUUAGUAACAGAAUAAAUACUUUGAGAGGACCUCUGGAACUGCAACGGAACGCCUGUAACCAUAAUCAAAUAACAAUGAAUAUUACAGGUUAGAUACAAUAUUAAGAGGUUGACAAGAUAAGUGCAGCGUUGCGGCGUGCAGGUAGACAAUGGUAUCCGUAUAACUGCGACGAGGUAGUUAUUGCUAACAGAUCGAAUAAAUCGGUUUGUGGUAUCGUUGAAUGAAAAGUCAAAUUAAUUUGUGAAGAUGCUUAAAAAAGGAAUCGGGAAUUAGUGGGUAAUCUUUUUUUGGCGGAAAUAAAACCACGCGUCGGAGCGUAGGCCCACAUUCGACCUCUAUAAAAUGGGUCUUGCCUUGGUGCUGCCGAACCAUAGUAGAAUUUAACAAGAUUACUGUAAACGCAAACGCCUGCAAUCUAAUAAGUUAGGCUAAGUGUAACGCAAAUAAAACUAUUUUAUCCUCAGGUCAGGGAUGAACUCAGUUAUGCGCUUCAAAAUAAUUCCUACCGCAUUUAGUGCAAACAUGAGACCAUUUUUUCCUGCUUCCAUAAUAGUUCAGGCGCCACAGAAUAAAGACAUCUUUAAAACCUGGGAACAUUUUGCUGCUUUCACGAUUUUGCUUUUAAAUUUUCGAUUGAAAUUCUGAUUUGUGCUUUUUAUCGUAAAAUUAUCGUAAAAUGACAAUGUAUGUCGGUGUAAAGGCUGAGAAGCAGAUUAACUGAAAUGGCGAAAUGCGAUAACUGCAACCGAGUAUCGAGAUUAGAAAAACGUUGCAACUAUAGGGUUUGAAUAACUAAAUAAGGUUUAAAACUGGCGGAUGACUUUGUACAUAGGUAGUGACACUUGUUUGGGAUCACUUACCUAUUUGUGGACUGUUGUUGUUAUUUUAUGUAUAUUUUAUAUAUAUUAUUAUUCCAGUAUUUUUACGGAUUAAUGGCAACACGAAAAUGGAACAGAUGAUACGGAAAUGAGCAGUCAACUGAAAUAUUUCAAUUGGACAAUGCGAUCACUGCGACAGUAUAAUCGUGAUAGGGCUGAAAGUUAUGUUGGAUGUACUCAAAUAAUUCGAACACUCCCAAAAUUACUGCAUUAAUUUAUCUGGGCUUUCUAAACCAGGGAAAUAUAAUUACUGUAAGGUCGUAGCCGUAACGGAACAACGAAAUCGAGAUUGCAUAAUCUCAAGAAAAUUUUAUAACUGUAAAGGUCUACAAUAUAAAUAUUUGAUCGAACGUAAAUCAAAUACACUAAUACUAGAAUAGGCCAAUGAAACAUUGCCACAGGCUAUCGGGUUAGGUGGCGUAAGGUAUUUCCAGUAAGGUAAUUAUUGGUUUAUAAUAUAAUUCAGGCUAGGCUGGGUGUAAAAUUAUGAAUCAAAUUGGCUCAAUUAACGGAAAAACAAGCAUGAAACAAAGCCGUCCGCUCGGUCUAAUAUCUACCUACAUAUUUAGCUAAUUACUUACUAAAACUCUGCACCCGUCUGUUUGUUUAGCUGCUUGUUUAUUGGACCCGAAUCGCUUUUUUAAAGUAAUUGCAUUGAGGUGACUGAUGGGUUUCUAGAAAUUCAUGUAAGGGAGACCUGUCGGUAACAUGGAAGGUACUGAUAAAUACUUUUGCAGGAGAGUUUCUUUAAAGCAUGAAGGAGAAUAAACUAUAUUUAUCGCUACAGCGGGGCAGCUGGGGUGCUAGAAUAUCUUAAUAAAAAAAUGGGGUACGUGGAGAAUAGUAAUAGCAACGGGAUGAAAUGGCAGUCAAAUAUUUACCUGGACGUAAUAAAGUGGAAAUCUGUUUCAAAAAAAUUCUAAAUUUUUCAUGAGCGGAUGUCUAAUAUAUGUAAAUUAAGAAGUCGAAGUGGCUGAUAUGGCAAACGUUUUGAUAAAUUUUUUUUUGGAAACUUCUCCUAGUAAUUUUUUGAUUGACACAAACGUAUUGCUACAGUUUUCUCUAUGCAAAGUACCACUUCUUUUUUUUUGACACCAGUCUAGCAAUUUCGACGAGCCGACUAAAAGUAUAUAUAUAUUCCGAUGCCUAAGAUAGGUAUUUCGGAAUGAAAAGGGCCAAAAAACAGAAUGCCGUCUUCUGCUUUGGUUCUGUCACUCGGAUAAAGCCUUUUUACAUGAAAGUCUACGUAUAGGGUUUUUCUUAGAACUAAUCCACAACGCUCGACGAGCUGAAUUGAAAUGUAAUUAAUGUUGCUAUACUUAAAGUUUUCAGUGUGCAAAUGCCAUUUAUGGGCGAAAAUUUAACAUGAUCCUCUAUAUAAGAGAGACGCUUUUCGCUAUCAACCAAUGGAUCCCGACGAGCGAAUAAAAAUUCUGUGUAUGUCUUAACAUCUAAAAUGGAUAUCUCAGUAUGAAAAUGCCAAAAAUACGCUAGUCGUACCAAUUUAAGUAAAAGUAAAGUUAAAAUUGGUUUCAGUGUAGUUUUGAGCCAUUUAUUAAUCAAUGUGCAUUCAAAGAUUAAGGUAGAUACAAUACAAAUAAAAUUCGUUCAUUUAGAACGGGUCGACAAAAUAGCUGGCAAAGCAUAAUGAGGUAAGUGGUAUAGUAACUGCAACGGGUUAUUUGUAAAUAAUUCUAAACUACGUGAAGCGUCAGCAAAUUAAGGUAGUCAAACAGGUAACGCAACACAAACGCUAGGCAAAGCCCGCGAAUUAGUCAAGUUUAUCUACUUAACUAGUAAAAGUCCUAGGUAGGUGAUUUCGUUCGGCCCAAGUAGCUGAUUAGGGUGAACAGAUUCGACAAAUUUUUUCUUGUUCGGUAUAGCUCCGCCCUGCAAGAAGUAGUGCUUAGGAUGGAGCCAAUUGAAUAAAUGCUUCUAAUUCUAGAGGAAAAGAUUUGGUUUCUCUCUAUUUUUAUUUACUUUGUUUAAAAACAAUGUCGUAAUGCUCGUUAAAAACUACCGUGAUCCGGGCUAUACGGCGGAUGUAUCUAAAUUUCCCAUCCGAAUUCUCUUAGCUUUUGCCAGAUAGUUAAAGGUGUAUACGAUCCGGCAAUGACGCCCCAUCUGUUAACUAUUCCGGUCGAUUUUUUUAAUGGCUUGUUGUUAUCUUGCUAGGUAGUGACAACAGAUGUCCGAAUCAAUUGUUUGCCGGAUAACAACUUACAAUGCACCACUCUUUUUCAGUCCAACCGGACACAUAGCAUACAUUUUUGGCGUUGGCCCGGAUCAUAUCACAAAGUGUGUAGUACAUGUUUUUUUUUUCGCACAUCACUGUUGUAUGUGAACCUUCUUCAUUACCCGUGAUAUAUCGCCACAGAAUUUGUUGCCUGAUUUUGUUUCUGUAAAGUUUCGCAGAUGACUUGCUUCAAAUGUUCAAAAAUUAUUUGGUGGUAGAUGCUUAACUCCUUAAUAAUGUUGUGGCUACCUAUGUAUCACAAGCUUCUUUCUGUAGCUAGCAUUCACCAGUUAAAAAUUGUUUCAUGACAAAUGUUUAGUUCCUCGGCGAUGUAAUGGCUUCCCGUGACUACCAAUGGCUCUGCUUUUGGCUUAUGCUUUUAGUCCAUGGCUUGACUCACGCAACAAUUUCAUCAUUUUCUUUCAUAACUGAUUGACAACUACGAAAAGUAUCUUUGACAUUGAAAUUCCCAGAAUGAAAGCAAUAAAAUAAUUUGUGAGCCGAUUUUUUUCAAUAAUCAUCUUGGCUAUAAGCAGCUUGAGCGAAAUGUGUGCUCUUA